CACGUAGGGUGCGAGCGUUGUCCGGAAUUAUUGGGCGUAAAGAGCUCGUGGGCGGUGUGUCGCGUCGGCCGUGAAAACCUGCAGCUUAACUGUGGGCUUGCGGUCGAUACGGGCAUCACUGGAGUUCGGCAGGGGAGACUGGAAUUCCUGGUGUAGCGGUGAAAUGCGCAGAUAUCAGGAGGAACACCAAUGGCGAAGGCAGCUCGCUGGAACGGUACUGACGCUGAGGCGCGAAAGCGUGGGGAGCGAACAGG
rnacentral:rRNA from 1 species